UGGCUCAGGACGAACGCUGGCGGCGUGCUUAACACAUGCAAGUCGAACGAUGAAGCCGCUUCGGUGGUGGAUUAGUGGCGAACGGGUGAGUAACACGUGGGCAAUCUGCCCUGCACUCUGGGACAAGCCCUGGAAACGGGGUCUAAUACCGGAUAUUACCUGGUGAGGCAUCUUACCGGGUGGAAAGCUCCGGCGGUGCAGGAUGAGCCCGCGGCCUAUCAGCUUGUUGGUGGGGUGAUGGCCUACCAAGGCGACGACGGGUAGCCGGCCUGAGAGGGCGACCGGCCACACUGGGACUGAGACACGGCCCAGACUCCUACGGGAGGCAGCAGUGGGGAAUAUUGCACAAUGGGCGAAAGCCUGAUGCAGCGACGCCGCGUGAGGGAUGACGGCCUUCGGGUUGUAAACCUCUUUCAGCAGGGAAGAAGCGCAAGUGACGGUACC
rnacentral:rRNA from 1 species